rnacentral:rRNA from 1 species
UACGAAGGGUGCAAGCGUUAUCCGGAAUUACUGGGCGUAAAGCGUGCGCAGGCGGUUUUGUAAGCCAGAUGUGAAAUCCCCGGGCUUAACCUGGGAAUGGCAUUUGGGACUGCAAGGCUCGAGUGCGGCAGAGGAGACUGGAAUUCCUGGUGUAGCAGUGAAAUGCGUAGAUAUCAGGAGGAACACCGAUGGCGAAGGCAGGUCUCUGGGCUGACACUGACGCUCAUGCACGAAAGCGUGGGGAGCAAACAGG